rnacentral:rRNA from 1 species
AACGAACGCUGGCGGCAGGCCUAACACAUGCAAGUCGAGCGCGCCUUCGGGUGAGCGGCGGACGGGUGAGUAACGCGUGGGAAUAUGCCCUUCUCUACGGAAUAGGCCUGGGAAACUGGGGGUAAUACCGUAUACGCCCUUUGGGGGAAAGAUUUAUCGGGGAAGGAUUAGCCCGCGUUGGAUUAGGGAGUUGGUGGGGUAAUGGCCUACCAAGCCGACGAUCCAUAGCUGGUUUGAGAGGAUGAUCAGCCACACUGGGACUGAGACACGGCCCAGACUCCUACGGGAGGCAGCAGUGGGGAAUCUUAGACAAUGGGGGCAACCCUGAUCUAGCCAUGCCGCGUGAGUGAUGAAGGCCUUAGGGUUGUAAAGCUCUUUCAGCUGGGAAGAUAAUGACGGUACCAGCAGAAGAAGCCCCGGCUAACUCCGUG